GAGACUACGUCCACGGUGGGGGAUCGAUCGCGAGCGAUCGGCUGGUAAUCGCGCCUCGUCGUCGUCGCGCGACGCUUUUUCCGAAUCGUCGUCGCGCCGGGAGUGUUAAUUACGACACAGCAAGAACCCUCGUCGUCACGAAACGCGGCGAAAAACAGUAAGCUUUCGUAACGAUUUCCUUCUCUCUCGUAAUUCCUUCCUCCUUUUCAGUCGCCGUUCGUCGUUCGAUUUUCCACACGUUUCUCAAUCAGUCCAGCCUGCUUCCGUUUACGUAAUCAUACCCGUCACCCGGUGAUACCGGAGACGAACGGAGAGAUAUCGCACGUGCGGGCAUCGAAAUCUCUCAGAGUCGAGUCUCCGACAUGGAUCGAGCGCGCGUUCGCGCGAUUCUCAUCUUUACGUCCCACUGCGUUUUCUACAAAGCAAGAGAGAGAGAGUAUACCACAUCACGGCGAUAUCGUGAAGGCGAGUGGGAAUUACCGUGGGAAGAAGGCUGUAAAAAGUACGGACCAGACGAAGACGACAAAAAAAAAAAA